AUUUCACCUCCCGAAACUUUAUGAGCUGCAAUUUAUUUGUUAAGCACCCCCUGGAUGCUGUAGCAUUAGCACCAAAAAAAUAAAUUACAGAGGCUACAUACCUACCGCAUAAAAUCAUAGCUGGUUCUUCAUAAACCCAGUAUAAGCUGAAUAAAUUGAAACAUAAAAAAUAAUCCCCGUUCAAUUAUAUAACCUAAUUGAGGACAAGCCCAAUUAUACCCCUUAUCCCAAAAAAACCCAAAAAAAAGUAGACCCAAAACCAGCCACCAAUAAAUUCGUCACAGUUAAACAAAAAUAAAAAUAUAAGCAAGAUAAAACAAAAUGAAAUAUUAUAUUAAACUCAAAAAAUAAAAAACUAUGCAAAGAUAAGUAUUAAAAUAUAUAACACCCAACCACUUAUAUAUGUGAGCAAGGAACUCGGCAAACCUUUAUUCCGCCUGUUUAACAAAAACAUCGCCUACUCGAGCCCCCAUAAUAGGUAAGUCCUGCCCAGUGAAAUUUUAACGGCCGCGGUACACUGACCGUGCAAAGGUAGCAUAAUCAUUUGCCUUCUAAUUAGAGGCUAGCAUGAAUGGAUACACGAGAAUAAAGCUGUCUCCCUCACAACCAUAAAAAUUUAUCUUCAGGUGAAGAAGCCUGAAUAAAAAUAAAAGACAAGAAGACCCUGUCGAGCUUCAACUCAACUAAGUAAACAAUAACCAAAAUAUCACAUUGCUUAUAAGAGUUUUUGUUGGGGCAACAAAGGAAUAAAAAAAUCUUCCUAAAAAAAACCGAUAAUAAAUCCCCCAAAUGACCCAAUAUUUGAACACUAAAAAUAGCUACCGCAGGGAUAACAGACUAAUUUUCCCCCAGAGCCCAAAUCUACAGGAAAGUUUGGCACCUCGAUGUUGGCUUAGGAACUCUUCUAGGCGUAGAAGCCUAAAAAGAAGGUUUGUUCAACCUUUAAUCUCCUACAUGAG
rnacentral:rRNA from 1 species